rnacentral:rRNA from 1 species
UGGUGGAGUGAUUUGUCUGCUUAAUUGCGAUAACGAACGAGACCUUAACCUGCUAAAUAGCCCGGCCUAGCUUUGGCUGGUCGCCGGCUUCUUAGAGGGACUAUCGGCUCAAGCCGAUGGAAGUUUGAGGCAAUAACA